UACAGAGGGGGCAAGCGUUGUCCGGACUUACUGGGUGUAAAGCGCAUGCAGGUGGCUGUGCAAGUAUGCUGUGAAAGCCCCGUGCUUAACACGGGGAGGCCAGUAUAGACUGCACGGCUCGAGGACUGCAGAGGGUAGGGGAAUUGCUGGUGUAGUGGUGAAAUUCGUAGAUAUCAGGAGGAACACCGGUGGCGAAGGCGGCCAUCUGGACGACAACUGACGCUGAGAUGCGAAAGCGUGGGGAGCAAACAGG
rnacentral:rRNA from 1 species